AUUGAACGCUGGCGGCAGGCCUAACACAUGCAAGUCGAAUGGUAACAGGAAACAGCUUGCUGUUUCGCUGACGAGUGGCGGACGGGUGUGUAAUGUCUGGGAAACUGCCUGAUGGAGGGGGAUAACUACUGGAAACGGUAGCUAAUACCGCAUAACGUCGCAAGACCAAAGAGGUGGACCUUCGGGCCUCUUGCCACCAGAUGUGCCCAGAUGGGAUUGGCUAGUAGGUGGGGUAACGGCUCACCUAGGCGACGAUCCCUAGCUGGUCUGAGAGGAUGACCGGCCACACGGGAACUGGACCACGCUCCGAACUCCUAGGGAAGGAGCCAGAGGGGAACAUUGGACAUGGGGGGAAAGCCGAACGCAGAAAGGCCGGUGAGAUGAAGAAGGCCUUCGGUUGGUAAAGUACUUUCUGCGGGGAGGAAGGGAGUAAGGGUAAAAACUUCACUCAGUGACGUUACCCGAAGAGGAAGCACCGGCUAACUACGUG
rnacentral:rRNA from 1 species